rnacentral:rRNA from 1 species
UGGGGGAUAUUGCACAAUGGGCGAAAGCCUGAUGCAGCGACGCCGCGUGGGGGAUGAAGGCCUUCGGGUUGUAAACUUCUUUUGCUCUGAACAAGGCGCACCAUGGGGUGUGUUGAGUGUAGGGGUUGAUUAGCGCCGGCUAACUACGUGCCAGCAGCCGCGGUAAUACGUAGGGCGCGAGCGUUGUCCGGAAUUAUUGGGCGUAAAGGGCUUGUAGGUGGCUGGUUGCGUCUGUCGUGAAAGCUCAUGGCUUAACUGUGGGUUUGCGGUGGGUACGGGCUGGCUGGAGUGCAGUAGGGGAGGCUGGACUUCCUGGUGUAGCGGUGGAAUGAGCAGAUAUCAGGAGGAAUACCGGUGGCGAAGGCGGGUCUCUGGGCUGUUACUGACACUGAGGAGCGACAGCAUGGGGAGCGAACAGG